UGGAAAAACUUGGAGCGAAAUGGAUGUGUGUCCCAAAGGAUAUUAGAUCCAAAUGUUCAAAAACACAAAUGGUGGGUUGUCUUAAGAAAAUUAUAGUGCCUGAAAAGAUUUGUUCCUGAGAAAAAGACCAUUCAGUCCUUAUUCAGCAGUGGAACAAAGAACCACAUUUGAGCAGGACUAAGAAAACAGCUUGGAUAUGCUUGAAACACAGGACAAAUAGGGGCUGGGGCUUCAGAGUUCAGAACCGUGAAGUGUGGCUGCAGUCAUGUUGGAAACAUUCUGAAUGAGGAGACUGAAGUACAGGAGACGUUACCUAACUUAUCCAAGGAUCCCACUGCGGAUGAAUACUGUGUUACAUUUAGUCACAGGAUCUCCUUAGGCUCUCCUUGACUGUGAUGGCUUCUCAGGCUUUCCUUGUUUUUGAUGAUCUUGACAAUAUUGAGGAGUACUAGUCAGGUACGUUGUAGGCUAAUCCUCUAUGGGAGUCUGUCUGAAGUUUCUCCCAUGAUUAGACUGAUGAGGUGAUGGGCUUUGGGGAGAAGCCCAACAGGGGUAAGGACUAUUUUAAUGACAUUGUGUCAGGGAUCCAUGCUAUCAACAUGACUUGUCACUGUUGAUGUUGACCUUGAGCACCUGGUUGAGGUGAUACUUCGCAGGUUUCUGUGACGUAAAUUUACUCAUUUUUCUCUUUUGUACUGUAGUUUUUUGGAAGAAAGUCACUGCCACACUUCCACACUACCACAGCCCACACUUAAGGAGUGGGAGUUAUGCUCCACCUCUUUGAGAGCUAUCUACCGAAAUUAUUUGAAAUUCUUCUGUACAGUAGAUUUGCUUCUUUUCCCCCAUUUAUUUACUUAUUCAGUCAUGUAUUUAUAUCAAUAUGCACUCAUGUAUAAUUAUUGUGCACUUUGGGUUGUAAUUCAAUGCGACUCUAUUUCAUUGCUCCAGCUGUGGCCGUGCAGAGCUCUUUUGUUUGGCUCUUGUGCCCUUUGCUGCACUCCCUUGCAGUAGUUUUGUUUGAGCACCUUCUUACUUUCUGGCACUACAAGAUGCUCUGGGCUCCUCUUAGGUAAUUGCUCUUCUGCCUUAGAAUCAACCAUUUUCCUAAGAAAUCAUGAAUCCUUUUACUGGAGAAUGGUUUUAGAAACCAAGAUAUGGGUAUGAGCUGUGCUCGUUGAAAUUGAGAUGUCCUUGCUUCUAGUGCUCUUAGCUGACACAGCAAGGAAAUAUAAAUAUGUAUAUAAUAACAUGUUUAUACACACAUAUAUAUUUAUAAAUAUUUUCAUGUCUUGUUUUGAGACAGGGUCUCACUCUGUUACUCAGGCUGAAGUGUAAUGGUGCAAUCAUAGCUCACUGCAGUCUCAACCUCCUGGGAUCAAGCAAUCCUCCCACCUCAGCCUCCUGAGUAGCUGAGACUGCAAGCACUCCACCAAGAUUGGUUAAUUUUUUAUUUUUAGUAGAGACAAGUUUGUGCUAUGUUGUCCAGAUUGGUCUUAAACUUCUGGCCUCAAGCGAUCCUUCUGCCUUGGCCUCCCAAAGUGUUGGGAUUAUAGGUGUGAGCCACCAUGCUUGACCUCAUAUGUCUGUAUUUUUGUAUCUGCAUCUUUAUUAAGUUAAACAUUAGUUCAUAUUGAUUUUUCCAACCAUAAUAUACUACCACGCAUGGGUCAUUUGCACUCUUCCUUUGCUUAUCUGUAAGGUCCACUUCAACAGUGAGAUGCACAGCUCCUCUUAUCUGUAUCCAGUAAAAUUAUCCUUCGAAAUUAAGGAGAAAUAAAAACUUUCUCAAACAAAAAGUAAAGCAACUCAUUACUGGCAAACCUGUCCUCCAACAAAUUCCUCAGGUGGAAGGAAAAUUAUAUAGGUGAGAAACUCAAAUCUACAUAAAGAAAGGAAGAGAGUUGGAGAAGAAAUAAAUGAAGGUAAAAGAAAAUCUUUUAUUUUUCUUAUUUUAAUUGGCCUAAAAGAUAUCUGUUUAAAGUGAAAAUAGUAACAAUUAUUGGAUGACUGUGGCAUACAAACAGUGAAAUAAAUGAGUGACAGUUGUCAUCUCACAUCAAGGCCAGGAUCUCCUUGACUGUGCCUGGAACGCCCUUGUUCUCCACAGAGAGCUGCCUCUACUAUCAUCCUCACAGCCUCUGAUACGCUCUGAGAGAACAAGGUGCAGGGCCUGUUCCCUGCUGGAGCUCUUCCCUGUAUGCACAUGUUUUUUCUGGGGACCAUUUGCCUAAUUCAUCUCAGAAAUGAGUGCUGGAACCCUCCACUGACUGCCAUUGAGUGAUUUGGGGUACAGCCCUCCAAGCUCUCAUAUAUGGCAGUUGCUGAAGGUGUGUAGAUUCCCUGUUUAACUCAGUUAAAGGGGUGGGGAUGACUGGCCCCAAAGAUGUUCUCCUGGAGGAGAUGGGGAAGGAGGGCCUGGCCUGCCACCCCGUACCAUCCACCAGCAUAAUGCUUUCUUAAUAGAUGGAGGAGGGGCCACAGGGAACUCCAAAGAUCUAUGAGCAAUAACAACACUUACCACAAAUUCCACACUCAUGUGGGUUUAGCCAUCUGGGGCUAUUACCUCUUACUCAACACUGAAGGCCAGAGUGAAAUGUCCCUGGAACCUGAAAACACAUGUUUCUUCUGAGACUCAGAAGAAAUAAAUGGAAGAAAUGUUUUCUCAUUUUUAGCAAUUGUUACAAGAAUUCUUUAUUCAGAAGGGACUUGGCUUUUUUGGGGAAAUGGUUUAAUAAGCCUAUUGAGGGGAUAGAAAUGAGCUUCCAGGACCUGGGUUUUGGGCCCAUGCCUAGUUUUCAUGAGGAAGAAAAAAGCUUCUCUGCCUAGUACAUGGGAGGGGAGGAAUGUGAUGUUCCUACAGAGACAAGUCCAGGAGGGAAGUGGAGAGAGAAGAAUCAAACCGCGUGGGAAGGCAUGAUUAAGAACAACAGGGCUCUGGAGUGACAGAAAAUCGAAAAAGGCCAAAGAGCAAUGUCUGAUUUUCCUUUUUUUUAUCACAAUGGGGUUGGAUGACGUAACACUUCUCUGCCAUUGCCUUGACAAAAUUGUUCCUGCUUUUGGACAUGUGGAUUGCGGCUGGGGAAUUAUGAAGCCAAAAGGGAACUCCAGGCAGCAGCAGGCUGUGUCUGUGUGGUUGAUGAGAUGAGCUCUCUGCAGGAGUCACUAGGUAGAGCAGGUGGGUUUUUCUUUUGUUCCUCUCUCAAGGCAGGAUGAGUGAAGCCUAGAAGUCACCUAAGUCUUGACUGAAAAGGAGCUGUGACAAUCAUCAACGUAUCUGAGUUAACGAAAGCGUGAAAACCUCACAGUACCAGCAUGCCCCUGUGUUUAGAAGAGCUGGCUAAACUUUCUCUGGCUUCAAGAAAAAGCACAAUUGACUAAUUUGUCCAUUCUGGAAGUCUGUAUUCAUGGUCCUGUAAAUAGAAUAGACCCAUCCAGAAAAGCCCUUGGAGAGAAGAGAGCCAGAGAAAGCCAAUAUUUCAGAAUGAAUGGUUCUGUUUGAAGAGCUUUGUAUGGCAAAUGAGGGUUAAAAAUUUUUCCCCACCUUUCCUUUACAGCAGUGAUUUUUGAGGUGUGGAUUUUUAACAGCUGCAGCAGCAGCAUCACCUGGAACCUGCUGGCAUUGCAAAUUAUUGGGCUCCAUUCCAGACCCACUGAGUCAGAAAGCCUGGGUAUGGGGUCCAGAGAUCUGUUAUAGAACAAGUUCUUCCAGUGCAAGCUAAAGUUUGAGAACAAUUGCUCUAAAGCAGAGGAUCUUAAAUUGAAUUCAGGGAUUUGUGAAACCAAUGGGAAAAAAAUAUAUACCGUUAUUUUUACCACCAUUUAACUGAAAGUUAGCAUUUCCUUCUGUUGUGAACACAGUCCGAAAAGCACAGUAGGAUUGACAGCACUGGGGCUUUUUCGCCAACAGAAACCUUUUUAUAGCAGCUUUAUUCAGAUAUAAUUUGCAUAUAAUACAAUUCGUCCAUUUAAAAUGUAUAAUUCAAUAGUUUUUAAUACAAUUACAAAAUUAUGCACUAAGCACCUGUAAUGGUUAAUUUUGUGUGUCAACUUGACUAAGCCAAGGAAUGCCCAGAUAGCUGGUAAAAACCUUAUUUCUGGGUGUGUGUGGGGGUGUUUCCAGAAGAAAUUAGACUUUGAAUUGGUGGACAAAGUGAAGAAGACUCACUGUCACCAUAAUAGGUAGUCAUCAUUUGAAUCUGUUGGGGCUUAAAUAGAACAAAAACAGAGAGAAAGAGAAAGAUCAAAUUUUCUUCGUGAGCUGAGACAUCCAUCUUCUUCUGCCCUCAAGUAUCUAAGCUCUGGCUCUGGGGCCUUCAGACUCCUGGACUUACAACAGUGGCCUUCCAUCCCCCAGCUCCCCACCCUGCUUCUCAAGCCUUCAAAUUAGUAUGGAAUUAAACGUCAGCUUUUCUGAGUCUCCAGGUUAUACUGCAGAUUCUGAGACUUCUCAGCCUCCAUAAUCUUAUGAGCCAAUUCCCACAAUAAAUAUCUCUAUAUCUCUGUCUCUCUUUAUAUAUAUAUAAAUAUUUAUUAUAUUCAGAUAUAUAUAGGAAAAAACAUAUACCAUUAAUUUUACUAACAUUUUACUGAAAGUUAGCAUUUUCUUCUGUUGUGAACAUAGCCCAGAAAGCACAGUAAAAUUGACAACACUGGGGCAUCAAUCAAUCAGUCAAUCAACCAAUCAUCAAUACACCAAUCAUCAAUCAUCUAGCUAUCAAUCUCUAUCUACCUGUCUAUCUAUCUAUCUAUCUAUCCAUCUAUCUAUCUAUCUAUCAUCUAUCCAUCUAUCUCUAUCAUCUAUAUCUCCUAUUGGUUCUGUUUCUCUGUAGAAUGCUAACACAGGACCACAAUCAAACUUGAACAUUGUCCUCACCACAAAAGGAAACUUCAUGUCUAUUGCCAUGCUCCAUCAUCCCCCUCCCCUACUUUAAGCAGCCACUUAUCUACUUUCCAUCUUUUUAGAUUUGAGGAUUCUGAACAUGUCAUAUAAAUAAAUAGAAUUAUAUAAUACAUGAUAUUUUGUAAUUGACUUUUCCACUUAGCAUAAUGCUUUAAAGUUCAUCCAUGUUGUUGCAUGUAUCAGUAUGUCAUUUCUUUUUUUUUGUCAAGUAAUAUUUCACUGUAUGGAUAUCUAACAUUUUAUGUAUCUAUUCAUUAAUUGAUGGACAUUUGGAUUGUUUCUACUUUUUGGCUAUUGUGAAUAAAGUUGCCAUUAAAAAUGUCUGUAUAAUACAAGUUUUUGUGUAAUCAUAUGUUUUUAUUUCUCUUCAUGUUUAACGAUUUGAGGAGCUGCCAGACUGUUUUGAAAAGUGGCUGCACUGUAUUACAUUUCCACCAGCAAUGUAUGAAGGCUCAAAAUUUUCCGCAUCUUCAUCAACACAUUGUUUUCCGACUUUCUAAAAUUACAACCAUCCUAAUAUGUGGAGUAGUAUCUCAUUGUGGUUUUGAUUUGCAUUUCCUUGAUCACUAAUGAUGUUGAGCAUACUGUCAUAAGUUUAUUGCCUAUUUAUAUAUCUUCUUUAAAGAAAUUUAUAUUAAGAUUCUUUGACCACGUUUAAUUGGGCUUUUUUUAUUACUGAGUUGUAAGAGUUCUUUGUUUAUUCCAGGUACAAGUAACCUAUUAUAUACAUAAUUUGCAAAUAUUUUCUGUCAUUCUGUGGAUUGCAUUUUUACUUUUUAAUAUUACCCUUUGAAGCACGAAAGUUUCUAAGUUUGUUAGAGUUCAAUUUACUUAUUUUUAGUUUGUUGCUUGUGGUUUGGUAUCUUACAUAAGAAAUCAUUUCCUAAUCCAAGGUGACAAAAAUUGAUGUCUAUGCUUUCUUCUAACAUUUUAUAGAAUUAAGCCUUACGUUUAGGUCUUUCAUUCAUUUUGAGUUAAAUUUUGAAUAUGGUGUGAGAUAGGGAUCCAACUUUAUUCUUUUUCAUGUGGAUAUCUAGUUGUCCCAACACCAUUUGAAGAGACGAUUCUUUUCACAAUAAAUUGUCUUAGCAUCUUUGAUGAAAAUCAGUUGUACAUAAAGGUGAGAGUUUAUUUCUGGUCUCUCAGUUCUGUUCUAGUGAUCUUUAUGUCUAUCUGUAUGUUAGUACCACACUGUCUUUAUUAUUAUAGCUUUGUAAUAAGUUGUGAAGUUGGGAAGUGCGAGUCCUCCAACAUUUUUCUCCUUUGUAAAAACUAUUUUGGCUAUCCUGCAUUCCAGGUAUUUUGAUAUGGAUUUUAUUAGAAGCUUGUCAAGUUCUGCAAAAUAGGCAACUGGAAUUUUAAUGGGGAUUGCAUUGAAUCUGUAGAUUGUUUUUGGUAGUAUCUUAACAAAACUUAACAAUAUUAAAUCUUGCAAUCCAUAAACAUAGGAUGUCUUCCCAUUUAUUUAGAGAUUUGGAAAUUUUUUUCAAUAAUGCUUGUUGUUUUCAGAGUAUAAGUUUGCACUUCUUUUGUUUAUUUGAUUCCUGUAUAUUCCUGUAAGGUCUAUACAUCCCACUUGAAGUUGUACAACAUUGAUUAAAAAUAGAUUUUUAAACAUUAAAUAUGUCUACUGUAAUCCUUAGAGCAACCACAAAAACAAACAAACAGAGAAACAAAACUGAAACAAAACAAAGAGGUAUGGUCAAAAUACAACAGAUAAAUAAAAAUGGAAUAUUUUAAAAAUGUUCAACUAUCCCAAAAGAAAGCUGGAAAGAGGAACAAAGAAAUGGAAAGCAGAGGUAAUACACAGAAAUAAAAUAUAAAAUGGUAAACCUAAAUCCAAACAUAUCAAUAAUUACAUCAAAUGUAAAGUGUCUAAGCAUCCAAUUAAGACACAUAGAUUUUCAGAAUGAAUAAACAAACAUAUGACCCAAUUAUAUGCUGUCUAUAAUGAUAAUGAUACAAGCAGAUUAAAAGUAAAAGAA